rnacentral:rRNA from 1 species
GACUGUUUGCGAGCCGCUUAGGGUUCUCGCUUGAGUCUAGUAGGAUGCUGGUCUGCGCUGGUGUGUCCUAUUCUACGACGACGAAUUAGGCCGCAGGCUCCGCCGCCGCGACCUGUCGUAGGCCGUCGUCGAGGACCUCCUCGGCCGCGCCGGCCGCAUGACGGCCUCGCGCUCGAAGCCGUCGGACCACCGCCUGGUCACCUCGCUCAGCGAGGGCAAGGCAGGGUUGCUGCGGCUGCUGUACCAGCAGAUGCCGCGGGAGGCGCUGCGGAAGAGGACGCCGACCGAGGGGCUGCCGAGGAAGCGCCGGCAGUUCGGGCUCGGGGACGGGAGGGGGCUGCCGAGGAUGCUGCCGAGGACGGAGCCGUCGAAGGAGCGCGGCGGCCGCGGGCCCGGCCUGCGCGGCACCCGCCUCCUCCUCCGGCUCCAGCGCCGCCGCCGCAGCUCCCCCUUCGUGAAGUCUCCGCACUCCGUCGCCGGCACCCCGUUCAAGCGCCGCCUCUAGGCCCUGGGCCGGUUCUUGCCGCGCGCGCACACCGAGCCGUGGAAGCUGUCGCGGCUCCUGCGGCGGCACCGGAUGCUGGCGCGGCGGAUGGCGUACGCGCCGAGGGCGCGCGAGGAGUUGAAGGGCGAGGCGUAGCCGAGGCUCUAGCGGCGGCGGCGGCGUCGGCGCCCGGUCUUCGCAGGCAGAGGGGUCGGCCGCUCGGGGCUGAGAAGUAGAGGGAGGACGUCGCGCGGGCCCAGCAGCUUCUCCUCUUUCUCUCCGCUCCGGCGCCGUCGCAGGUACCGGUACCGAGACCACGGCGGGGGCGGCCGCGUCCGAGGCCAGGUCGACUGGGAGGGUCGGGUCGGCACCGACCGGCGGCCGCGGCAGGUCGUCGACCACUCGACUUCGCCGCUUCGCUGGUCACUAGCAAGAGUGAAGAGUGCUCGCUAAUCAACGAACUACACAACUCGCUGCACUCCUUGUCUCGUAGUUCUACUCUACUUACCGCGCAUUACGCAGCGAGCUUCUUUGGAAGCUAGUCAACCUCCGCUAAUGCGCGGUGCGGUAACACUUUAAACACACCAAUAUUCAGACUUUGAACAGCGAUCCCAAUCACCGCAACCGUGUCAUUUUUCACACUCGUCACCUUAGGCCUUCGACCAAGCACUGUCCACCACUCCCACGUCCAAAGGGUAACUAUACUAUAUAUCAAAUUAUUAUGUUCCACCCGCACGUAGUGCCAACAAAUCACUCCUUAUUAUGUGAUGAACCAUCUUCCUUCUUUACAGACGCAACACUGGCCCUUCCUCGUGUACACAGACUUAGAGAUGAAGAUUACUUCUUCAGGCAUGCAGCAAGCAAGCAAGCGUGCGUUGGGAGCGUAGCUAGCUGGAGGGGGUGGUUAAAAGGAGGUUUAUUUUGCAAACUGAGGUGGAGGAGAAGGCGUACCUUUUUUCCCUCCUUUAGUGGAUACAAAAACCAAAAGAAAGUGCCAGAGGUAGGAUAGGUCUGGGCGGGAGUGGGGGCUUGGAGAGGUUUGGUGGAGGUGGGACUAGAGGUGUUGGGGGACUAGGAGAGGAUUUGGUGAGG